CUACGGGUCGCUCCAGUUAGGAAUAUUUUGCAAUGCGCGCAAGCGUGACAAAUUGAGCCAGAGUGUUUUUCAAAUUGAAAAACUUUUGCCAAAUCUAAAAAAUUUGGCGAAUAAGGACUGGGUAAGACUAGUGCCAGCCGCCGCGGUAAUACUAGCGGUCCAAGUCGCAGCCAUUUUUAUUGGGUCUAAAACAUCCGUAGCUUGCUUAAUAAGUUUCUUGUGAAAUUUUAUGUCUUAAGCAUAGAGCGUGCAAGAAGUACUGUUGAGCUAGAGACUGGAAGACGUAAGAAGUAUGUUCAAAGUAGUGGUAAAAUACGUUAAUCUUGAACAGACUCUCAACAGCGAAGGCAUCUUACGAGGACAGUUCUGACAGUAAGGGAUGAAGGCUAGGGGCGCAAAACGGAUUAGAACCCCAGUAGUC
rnacentral:rRNA from 1 species